GACACGCUGGCGGCGUGCCUAACACAUGCAAGUCGAGCGGGGUUGAGGCGAGAGGUAACUCGAACUUCUACCUAGCGGCGGACGGGUGAGUAACGCGUGGGCAACCUGCCUCAAGGUUUGGGAUAACAGCCCGAAAGGGCUGCUAAUACCGGAUAUGCCUAUGGCCUCGCAUGGGGCUAUGAGCAAAGGGGAAACCCGCCUUGAGAUGGGCCCGCGUCCCAUCAGCUAGUUGGUGAGGUAACAGCUCACCAAGGCGACGACGGGUAGCCGGCCUGAGAGGGUGACCGGCCACACUGGGACUGAGACACGGCCCAGACUCCUACGGGGGGCAGCAGUGGGGGAUCUUGCACAAUGGGCGAAAGCCUGAUGCAGCGACGCCGCGUGAGCGAAGAAGGCCUUCGGGUUGUAAAGCUCUGUCUGGAGGGACGAACAAAAUGACGGUACCUCCGGAGGAAGCCACGGCUAACUACGUG
rnacentral:rRNA from 1 species